AACAUGAGUUGCUAGCGGAAGAUCAGGGAUAUCCCUGUAAGGUCCCUUUCGUACAGCAUGGAGAAGAAACAAACUUAUCAAACAACCCCUCCAACCAAUCAUAUUUCAACAUUCUUUAAAUCAAUUUAUCUUUUUGUUUUUCAAUUAAUGUCUUAAUUCUAUAUAUAUUUCAUCUAAUUCACUUUCCUCUUUCUAUAUAUAUCCUUCUCCUAAUUCAGAAUUUUCUUCUAUCAUCUAUCAACGCCUCCUUCAUCACUUGUAGUAUCCCUCCAUUAAAGUGCCUUUGUAACUUGAAUCCACACCUAUAUCACCCUCAUGGCCUUUGAUUUUUAUAUUUUUUAAUCCAAAAUAGUUACGACGUUAUUCUACGCUUUAGUGUACGACGCUAUACAAAUUGUGUCACCAAAGAUCAAAAUAAGUUUCUUUUACGACUAUGCCCAUUUUUAGUUUCACUAACUUAAAACUUUUAACAAGUCAACCAUAGACAUGACAAUAGGAUUCUACGUUUACCCCUUUUGAGGUGAUAUGCCCAUGUUUUACUCAUCCAUGCAAGAAAAAGAAAACUACAAAAUAGUAGUCUUGAUAAUGUGAGUGUCUUUUUAUGGGCAUUUCUGUACGUUAAUUUUAUAACUUUUAAUUUAGGUUUUUUUUACUUUUUUUCUUUAUGUGAAUGUCUUGAAAUAGGAUGGUAAGAAGCCUAUUCUUCUAUGGACUAUGGAGGAAUAGCUUCCCUAGGAUACAAUAUGUAUAUGGAAAUGAUCUUAAAGCAACUUUAAACAUGUCAUUAGAGUCACUAUUGACCUACUUUGCUACAAUUUUCACAGUUGUUGACCAAUUAUUUGUCGCACAAAAUCCUUUUGUUUUCAGCUCUACCAUUUAACUGGACAUUUGUUAUCCCUUAACUAAAAUCACGUAUUUGUUCAAUAUAACCAUAGCAGUAACAUACAACGACACAUUGCAUUAUCAUAACCUACCAGAAGAUUGUCCACACCGCGAAAACUUCCGGCUUAAAAUCGGAGUCGUGAUCAAAUUCGUGCUUGUAGUGCUUACAUUAGUACCUGCCAUAUUUAGUGACUUCUAUGUUGAGCUAACAACAUUUUGUGGAGUGAAUGCGGGAGUGAUGGUGGAGGGUUUUAAUUUCCAUGAAUAAUGUGUUGUUUUAUUCUGCUCUUACUUUUUGGCUGAAUAGGUUUUGGUUAGUCAUUCAUCAUUCCCGUCGUUUGCUUCUACUGUAUCAUGUGGCCGAAGAGCCAAAGAAGGCAUAUAUCAUAUAUAAGUUCCUUAACUACAAAAUGAUUAGAAGAAUAGUAUUUACUAAUAUUUUAAUUAUUUGCUAGAUUGAUUUUGCAAAUAAGGUAAUAUAAAUGUAAGAUUGUAUAAGGUAAUAUUUGGAUACAAUGAUUCAUAAUUUGUUGUA